rnacentral:rRNA from 1 species
UACAGAGGUCCCAAGCGUUGUUCGGAUUCACUGGGCUUAAAGGGCGCGUAGGCGGUGCGGUACGGUUUCGGUGAAAUCCCUCGGCCCAACCGAGGAACAGCCGGAGCUACGGCCGGACUAGACGGCAUCAGGGGACAGUGGAACUCCCGGUGGAGCGGUGAAAUGCGUAGAUAUCGGGAGGAACACCGGUGGCGAAGGCGACGUCCUGGACCGGCAUUGACGCUGAGGCGCGAAAGCCAGGGGAGCAAACGGG